UCUGGGGUCUGCUGGGACCAGGUGGCUUCAACAGUCUCUACCAAAUGUCCUUCCAGCAGUGGAACCGCUUUCCCCCCCCAGUGUGGCCCGAGAUCCUCACCGGCCCCUACUCUGUUCCUGGGGAUUCACCCUUCCCACCAGAGCACCACCAGGUGAUUCUCAUUGGCUGAACUCAACAGCAAACCAAAGGGCAUGCAAGUUUAUUGAUACAAUCAAUAAAGUUCAGGUGAAGGGCACAGCAUCCUGAGUGAACCUUCUGCCAUAAGGUGAAGAAACCCUGCUUGAUGACCCUACUGAAGCUGACUCUGGCUGACCUGCAUUCAAGCUGAGACACCAGAGUUCUCAUUCACCAAGGCAGACCCAAGUUCUGCAUCUUUCCACAUGGCUUGAACAUGCACUGCAAUCAGCAUGUUAAUUUGGGAUGGCUGAGAGCGCAUCUCCCUAUCUACUUGUUUCUCUUAACAUGGACAUUUUUAAUCAGGCGCCUAAUUUGGUCCUGGGGGAUCUCACUCUGCUUUAAUAAUACAUGUGACAAAAUUUACCUCUUUGCUUUCAAAGUUGUUAAUUAUGGAGUGCAUUUCAAAUGAGCUAUUGCAGCCAAGAGAUCAUCUCUUUUGGAUGCUUACAUACUUUAAUGCUGGGAAGAAGCAAUAAACAUGGAAGGGUUAUGAAACACCUCUCCAUAUGGACAGUGAUGCUUUUCAGGGGACCAGACAGGGUAGUUGUGAAGACUUUUUGGUGAUGGGCUUAUAUUAAGUUGUAUUUCAGGUUAUGCCACAGUCUACAUAACCCAGAGGGCUCAACCUGCUUUCAAAGCAGAGGGAAGAAGAGCAGACAAAGGCAAGGAGGACUUCAGAGAGAUAAGUGGGCUAGGUCAUUGAUCCGUUUAAGGAAGUAGACUCAACUGCUUCAGAGAAGACAGGUUUUUUUUUUUUCUUUCUUUUUUUGCCUUCUACUGUGAGGAUAGCCAAUUGCAGAUUGCACCAGAAUUCCAGUGAUCUUUGGUGUGUGUUCUCAGACUCACAUAUGUUAUGAAUUCUUAUGGUCCUAAAGCCAUUACUUCUUAAUAAAUUAGAGAAUUAGAGUGGGUUUCUGUGAAAUUUGUUUUGGGUUCUCUGGUCUUCAGACAUACAAAUGCUGUUUAAAUACUGAUGCAGUUAAAAAGACUUAAACAAUCACCUAAAUCACUGUGCCUUAAAAGCAAUAGAACUCAGCUAACCCAUUUGCACAUGUUAGCCUCAAAAGAUGGCUUUUAGUGGCUUCCUUCCAGAGCUUCCUCCAUUAUUUUCUCAUUACAUGAAAUGAUUACUGGGCUUUGCAAACGACUUUGGGUGCCAUACAAAAUAUUUAUUUUAACCCUCUAGGGGACAUUGUCCUAGAAAAUAUGAUUGCUCAGGAGUUGAAGUACGGAAUAGGUCUUCAUGAGGUGGCCAUUUUAUGUCAUCUGUUCAGAAGCAUGCUCAGUCUUAUAUUGGAAGCAAGAUAGAAGACAGAGCUAAGAAAAGCUUUCCACUUCAUUUUAAGAGAAAAUCCAGGGAUAUUGUUUUUUUUUUUUUUAAACCUCAGGUUGAGCCCAGAUUUACUAGGCAUUCCAAAGGCCUUUGGGAUACAGUCUGGGUGGACCCGUGCAAUGUGAUCAUGUCUUUGUACUCAUCAGCAACCAGAGAAGUAGAAAGUGGAUUAAUUUUUUGAACACAUGGGUGACAAUAAUUUCACUUCUGGGAACUGACCUAAUAAGAGAAAUUUUGCCAGUAGAAACUAGGUAUUUUGCAGAGUAAUAAAACUGUGACAGAAAAAGGUAAAAUCUGAUUACUAUUUGGCUAGACAAGAAGAUGGAGGGUCAUCCCUCCUGUGCUAUAUAAGGAAAACUAUGCUGACUAUAAAUGGCUGUUCACGUGGGAGGUUCACUUAACAUCUGGGCCUUCAGUUUCCUAUUUCUCAAGUGAGAACUUGGAGAAGAUGGUGACAAAGGGCCCUUCUACCUUGAAUAUUUCUAUGGUCCAGGUGGUAAGAUGUGAGAGUAGAAUAACAGAGAAUGCUGCUCAGGGUUUCAGGAAGAUUGGUGGUGACUGCAGUUCUGCUACUAAGUUAUUGGUAUGACUUUUGAUCAUAUGGAACAUUUCCAGUUUUUCAUAAUGCCAUACUGAAUAUUCUUGUACAUGAUUCUUUUCCUUUGGAAUAAAUUCCCAAAGCUAGAUCAACAGUAGUCCUCUAUAAGAAUUUUAAUAUAUUACCAGAACAA